ACGAUCAGUAGCUGGUCUGAGAGGAUGAUCAGCCACACUGGGACUGAGACACGGCCCAGACUCCUACGUGAGGCAGCAGUGGGGAAUUUUCCGCAAUGGGCGAAAGCCUGACGGAGCAACGCCGCGUGCGGGAGGAAGGCCUUAGGGUUGUAAACCGCUUUUAUCAGGGAAGAACACAAUGACGGUACCUGAUGAAUAAGCCUCGGCUAAUUCCGUGCCAGCAGCCGCGGUAAUACGGGAGAGGCGAGCGUUAUCCGGAAUUAUUGGGCGUAAAGCGUCCGCAGGUGGCCAAUUAAGUCUGUCGUUAAAUCGUGGAGCUCAACUCCAUACAAGCGAUGGAAACUGAUUGGCUAGAGUACGGUAGGGGUAGCGGGAAUUCCAGGUGUAGCGGUGAAAUGCGUAGAUAUCUGGAAGAACACCAGCGACGAAAGUGCGCUACUGGGCCUGUACUGACACUCAUGGACGAAAGCCAGGGGAGCGAAAGGGAUUAGAUACCCCUGUAGUCCUGGCCGUAAACGAUGAACACUAGGUGUUGCGCGAAUCGACCCGUGCAGUGCCGUAGCCAACGCGUUAAGUGUUCCGCCUGGGGAGUACGCACGCAAGUGUGAAACUCAAAGGAAUUGACGGGGGCCCGCACAAGCGGUGGAGUAUGUGGUUUAAUUCGAUGCAACGCGAAGAACCUUACCAAGGCUUGACAUCCCCCGAAUCUCUGGGAAACCGGAGAGUGCCUUCGGGAGCGGGGAGACAGGUGGUGCAUGGCUGUCGUCAGCUCGUGUCGUGAGAUGUUGUGUUAAGUCCCGCAACGAGCGCAACCCACGUCCUUAGUUGCCAUCAUUUAGUUGGGCACUUUAGGGAGACUGCCGGUGACAA
rnacentral:rRNA from 1 species